GGAAGGUUGGCAGAGCGGUAAUGCAGCACCUUGGAAAGGUGUCGUCGGCAACGGCGCGGGGGUUCGAUUCCCUCACCUUCCGCCA
rnacentral:tRNA from 1 species